rnacentral:lncRNA from 10 species
UAUGCCCACUCUGAGUGCUGCUGUAUUUGCUAUUUUUCUUUUGGAAACAUUUUCCCCGGCUUUCUCUGUCUCAUCUAAUUAACUUCUCAUCAUUCUUUAAAUGUAUUUUUUUUUUCAGUUCCUCAGAUUAAGUUGGAUUCCCCCAUAGGUUGCUAUUUAUUCCAUUAAGAGGAUUUAUUGGCUUGAUGUGGUGGCUCAUGGCUGUAAUCCCAGCACUUUGGGAGGCCGAGGCAGGUGAAGCACAAGGUCAGGAGUUCAAGACCAGCCUGGCCAAGAUGUUGAAACCCUGUCUCUACUAAAACUACAAAAACUAGCCAGGGGCAGUGGCAGGUGCCUGUAAUCCCACCUACUCGGGAGGCUGAAGCAGGAGAAUUGCUUGAACCCUGGGCGGCAGAGGUUGCAGUGAGCUGAGAUCACGCCACCACACUCCAGCCUGGGCGACAGACUGAGAUUCUCAUCCAGAGUCAAAUUUUCAAAAAAAAAAAAAAAAAAAAAGAUUUAUCACACUGUGAUUUAUGUCAGCGUAAACAUUCGAUUAAUGUUUGU